UACGAAGGGGGCUAGCGUUGCUCGGAAUCACUGGGCGUAAAGCGCACGUAGGCGGAUUGCUAAGUCAGGGGUGAAAUCCUGGAGCUCAACUCCAGAACUGCCUUUGAUACUGGCGAUCUUGAGUCCGGGAGAGGUGAGUGGAACUGCGAGUGUAGAGGUGAAAUUCGUAGAUAUUCGCAAGAACACCAGAGGCGGAGGCGGCUCACUGGCCCGGUACUGACGCUGAGGUGCGAAAGCGUGGGGAGCAAACAGG
rnacentral:rRNA from 1 species